rnacentral:rRNA from 1 species
GGGUCCUACGGGGGGCAGCAGUGGGGAAUAUUGCACAAUGGGGGAAACCCUGAUGCAGCAACGCCGCGUGAAGGAAGACGGUUUUCGGAUUGUAAAGCUCUGUCCUUGAGGAAGAAGGAAGUGACGGUACUCAAGGAGGAAGCCCCGGCUAACUACGUGCCAGCAGCCGCGGUAAUACGUAGGGGGCAAGCGUUAUCCGGAAUUAUUGGGCGUAAAGAGUACGUAGGUGGUUUUGUAAGCGCGGGGUGAAAGGCAGUGGCUUAACCAUUGUAAGCCUUGCGAACUGCAAGACUUGAGGGCAGGAG